AGAGUUUGAUCCUGGCUCAGGACGAACGCUGGCGGCGUGCUUAACACAUGCAAGUCGAGCGAUGAAGUUUCCUUCGGGAAAUGGAUUAGCGGCGGACGGGUGAGUAACACGUGGGUAACCUGCCUCAUAGAGGGGAAUAGCCUUUCGAAAGGAAGAUUAAUACCGCAUAAGAUUGUAAUGUCGCAUGACAUAGCAAUUAAAGGAGUAAUCCGCUAUGAGAUGGACCCGCGUCGCAUUAGCUAGUUGGUGAGGUAACGGCUCACCAAGGCGACGACGCGUAGCCGACCUGAGAGGGUGAUCGGCCACAUUGGGACUGAGACACGGCCCAGACUCCUACGGGAGGCAGCAGUGGGGAAUAUUGCACAAUGGGGGAAACCCUGAUGCAGCAACGCCGCGUGAGUGAUGACGGUCUUCGGAUUGUAAAGCUCUGUCUUUAGGGACGAUAAUGACGGUACCUAAGGAGGAAGCCACGGCUAACUACGUGCCAGCAGCCGCGGUAAUACGUAGGUGGCAAGCGUUGUCCGGAUUUACUGGGCGUAAAGGGAGCGUAGGUGGAUAUUUAAGUGGGAUGUGAAAUACCCGGGCUUAACCUGGGUGCUGCAUUCCAAACUGGAUAUCUAGAGUGCAGGAGAGGAAAGGAGAAUUCCUAGUGUAGCGGUGAAAUGCGUAGAGAUUAGGAAGAAUACCAGUGGCGAAGGCGCCUUUCUGGACUGUAACUGACACUGAGGCUCGAAAGCGUGGGGAGCAAACAGGAUUAGAUACCCCGGUAGUCCUAGCCGUAAACGAUGAUAACUAGGUGUGGGAGGUAUCGACCCCUUCCGUGCCGACGCUAACGCAUUAAGUUAUCCGCCUGGGGAGUACGGCCGCAAGGUUAAAACUCAAAGGAAUUGACGGGGGCCCGCACAAGCGGUGGAUUAUGUGGUUUAAUUCGACGCUACGCGAAGAACCUUACCUGGGCUUGAACUGUAGGUGGUAACUUUUAUGAAAGUAGAAGUGACCCGCAAGGGAGCCUAUAGAGGUGCUGCAUGGUUGUCGUCAGCUCGUGUCGUGAGAUGUUGGGUUAAGUCCCGCAACGAGCGCAACCCCUAUUCUGUGUUGCUUGCUUUGCAAGUUCUCUCAGAAGACUGCCACGGACAACGUGGAGGAAGGCGGGGAUGACGUCAAAUCAUCAUGGCCUUUAUGUCCAGGGCUACACACGUAAUACAAUGGCGUAUACAGAGGGCAGCAAAACCGCGAGGUAGAGCAAAUCCCUAAAGUACGCCUCAGUUCGGAUUGUAGGCUGCAAUUCGCCUACAUGAAGCUGGAUUCGCUAGUAAUCGCAUAUCAGCCAUGAUGCGGUGAAUACGUUCCCGGGCCUUGCACUCACCGCCCGUCA
rnacentral:rRNA from 1 species